rnacentral:rRNA from 1 species
AUGGGUCCGAAGACCGCCGUCGAGGCCCUUGGACACAUAAAAGUACACCGCCGUCUGUUCUGUCAGGGCGACGUUGGCGAGGACGAGAAUGCCGAAGGGGCCAAGUGCGCCGUGGGUGGCAGCGCCGCUUGUCAUGGUGCAGUUGUAGCCGACAUCGACGUCAUUGAGGGCCUCAAUGGCGGAGGUGUUGAUGCGGAAGGAUGCCUCGAUGUCAAGUUGGGAGGUCUGGUGGAGGGGGAGGGAGACGAAGGAUCCGGCACCGACAGUGAUGCCGCUGAGAUCGGUGGUGUUGAUGCGGAGGGUAUCGAGCUCCUCCACUGGCCAUUGGAUGAGGUUCGUCCGGGUCUUCUCGUCAAGCUCCACGGUUGGCCCACCCCUUGGCGGCGUCGGCGCUCGAGGAGUCGGUCUCGACGACGUACCCCCAGACGAUCCGCCGAUUCUUCACGGGGUCGUAGAAGGACUUGGACGCGUCGUACCUGCCAUAGUCGUACCGCAGCGAGACCCCGAGUUCCCGCUCGGUGUUGA